rnacentral:lncRNA from 1 species
GUGAAAACCCUUAUCACUGUGGUGUAUGUGGUAAACAGUUUACUCAGCUUAGUAUUUUACUAAACCACAUGAGAACACAUACUGAUGAUAAACAUCAUUAACCUGUGGUGUAAGUGAUCAAGCGUUUAGUAAGCAAUGUGAUUUAUAGACUCACAUGAGAACACAAACAGGCCUAGGUGAUUUAUAGACUCACAUGAGAACACAUACAGGUGAUUUAUAGACUCACAUGAAAACACAUACAGGUGAUUUAUAGACUCACAUGAGAACACAUACAGAUGAUUUAUAGACUCACAUGAGAACACAUACAGGUGAUUUAUAGACUCACAUGAGAAAACAUACAGGUGAUUUAUAGACUCACAUGAGAACACAUAAAGG